GAUGAACGCUGACAGAAUGCUUAACACAUGCAAGUCGAUGGGGAAGUGGUGCUUGCACCAUGGCAACCAUAGCGGACGGGUGAGUAACGCGUAAGGGACUUACCUGCAGGACUGGGAUAACAGGGGGAAACUCCUGACAAGACCGGAUAAUGUCAUGGAGCUGCAUGGCUUUAUGAUGAAAGGAGACGCCUGCGGAGAGCCUUGCGUCCUAUUAGCUAGUUGGUGAGGUAAUGGCUCACCAAGGCGAAGAUAGGUAGCCGGCCUGAGAGGGUGGACGGCCACAAGGGGACUGAGAUACGGCCCUUACUCCUACGGGAGGCAGCAGUGGGGAAUAUUGGACAAUGGGGGCAACCCUGAUCCAGCAAUUCUGUGUGCACGAAGAAGGUUUUCGGAUUGUAAAGUGCUUUCAGCAGGGAAGAAGUAAGUGACGGUACCUGCAGAAGAAGCGACGGCUAAAUACGUG
rnacentral:rRNA from 1 species